rnacentral:misc_RNA from 1 species
GGGGUGAACUUCACCGCAUGAUCGAGUGGGGAACUGUUCAUACAAAAUUUGGUGCACAGAUGCUUGUCAAGGAAGAGGGGCUUGGAGAGGAAAUAAAAUAUGAGAUGCCUAAGGCUUGGGUGCAGUUCACUGGUUUACCUAAGGAACUUAGAGAGUACUCAGUAAUCUGGGCGGUUGGUUCUAUGCUAGGCAUCUCAAAAGAGGUGGAUAUGUUGUUUACUCGGAAAUUUGACAGGGCAAGGCUGAAGGUGGCCGUGCUUGACCUGAAUUUGAUUCCGCAAGUAGUUGAUGUGGUAAUUGGAUACUACUUAUAUGAACUGAAAUUCAGGGUGGAGUCAGAAGCUGAAGGUGACCAGCCUUUGCCGAUGGAUAUGGAUCAUAUCGGGGAAAAUGAUGAUGAUGAAUUUCAGGAUCAAAACAAGGAUCACAAAAUAGGUGAAAGAGGGAGUAAGGGGGCGAGCUUGAAGGGAACAUCAAAGGAUUCAGCAGGGGCAGUUAACAAGGUGUCGGAUUCUAUGCUGAACAGCAACACGACCAGUGGGAAAUCGGUGUGCGCUGGCCAUACACAGCUGGAUCUGGAACAAUCUCAGGGCACCAGUCUCUCGGUCAAUGCUGUUAGUAUUGAAAAGUUGGGCAGUAUCCCGGAGGCGUUGUCAGGAACAGUGCAAGCACUGCGUCGUAGCUCGCGCCGCUCAGAUUCGGUGAGUGAAGACUCGCUUGUUCGAGCAGUACGGCUGAAAGCGGGAUACAACCUGGACGACCAGCCGACUAAAGGUAACAAUGUUUCCUUUAUUAGUUUACCCGAUAAUUAUAUUCUUGAUUCUUUUAAAAAUAUUGGCAUUUUAGCGGGUUCUAAUCCUAGUUUAGUUGCUUCCUCUAUUGGUCAGUUGAAAAAAUUAGAGAUUAAUAGAGUUCAGGAUCAGCUAGUGGGUAAGAACAAGGCUGAAUUAUCUGAUUUUAUGGGGAAGGGAGUAGUUGAGGACGAAGAGUUUGAUCAUUUCAUUUUAAAUCAUUUGUGUGGGGAUAUUAUGAAUGAAGAGACGGAUGGCACUGAUGGGCUGAUUAAGUCAGUCUGUACAAAACCAUCUAGUCAGGGUUCGUUGUGUUCUAACAAAAAAGGUCGGGCUUGAUUAUUAAUUAAUUGUUUACCAAUGAAAGGAAUUUUUUGGAACAGCAAUGGGU